rnacentral:rRNA from 1 species
CCUACGGGUGGCAGCAGUGAGGAAUAUUGGUCAAUGGACGCGAGCCUGAACCAGCCAAGUAGCGUGAAGGAUGACUGCCCUCUGGGUUUUAAACUUCUUUUAUAUGGGAGUGUAAUGUUCCAUGUGUGGCGUUUUGUCUGUACCUUAUUAAUAAGGAUCGGCUAACUUCGUGCCAGGAGCCGCGGUAAUACGGAGGUUCCGUGCGUUAUCCGGAUUUAUUGGGUUUAAAGGGAGUGUAGAUGGAUUGUUAAGUCAGUUGUGAAAGUUUGCGGUGUAACCGUAAAACUGCAGUUGAAACUGGCAGUCUUGAGUACAGUAGAGGCAGGCGGAAUUCGUGGUGUAGCGGUGAAAUGCUUAGAUAUUACGAAGAACUCCGAUUGCGAAGGCAGUCUGCUGGACUGCAACUGACACUGAGGCUCGAAAGUGUGGGUAUCAAACAGAAUUAGAUACCCGUGUAGUC